CACAAGAUAAGCUUCUGGCAGACCUGAUGGUAGACUCUUCAUACGUUUUCUAGUCUAGUGGUGUUUUAAUGUUUCUUGCCUCAAGAGUUACUUCCUUGUAAUCUGAUCCUCCUCUCAUACUGCUGCAACAUUAUUUCCUGCAUGAAUGCUUACGUUAUGGGGCUGAAGGAAGUACAGAGAGAAAGACCACCUCUCCAAUGCCUCCCCAUGUAGACUAGAUUUCCUGCCAUAACGAUAUGAAAAAGGAGAAUUUGAAACCCUGGGAUGUGACAGUAAAAAGAAUGAUGAUGGAAAAAUGGAGGUGGGAUGAGAAAACAGAAAAAAAAAAUUGGAGUUUCUGGGCAAGGAAAUAGAAAUUGGCCUGACAAAGAGACAUUUUUACUGAUGGUCCAGCAGAAAGACAACACACAGCACAGCAAUAUAGAGGGACCCCAGCUACUCCCUCCAUUCAAAAUCUACUGUGAAACUCUCACUGAAGGCAAUAAGGGAAGAUUUAGACCUUCUAAUUCAAUUCAUGCAACCGCUGAGUUACUGCAUAAGGAACACUUCACCACUCUGGAAGAAAGAAGCUGCUGCAUUUGGUGGAGCCAAAACCUGCAAACAUGCUCUGAGAAUGCCUGCAUGAGCAAAAAGCAGAUAAACACCAUCUGAAGCACUUCCAAGUAAACAGAGCUGCAGGAAUAUUUGGCUGCAGGUUAACAUGGACCACUUUGAGAGUUCAGAAUGGAGAGAAAUCACUGGACACCAUGCAGCCCUCCCUUGACAAGCCUGUCCUCCUUCCAUGGCAAGCUCUGUCCCUUUAUCCUCCUGAGAAUGAAACCAGUAUGGAUCAAGGAGAGAGAGGGCAGUCCCUGAAGGCAAUCACAUCCCCAAUUGCCCACUUUCUGCUUGGGGAAAAAUUCAGGAAGGAAAAUGACAAG
rnacentral:lncRNA from 1 species